rnacentral:rRNA from 1 species
CCGGUGGAUAACCUGCCUCACACAGGGGAGUAACAGUUAGAAAUGACUGCUAAUACCGCAUAAGCGCACGGCAUCGCAUGAUGCAGUGUGAAAAACUCCGGUGGUGUGAGAUGGAUCCGCGUCUGAUUAGGUAGUUGGUGGGGUAAUGGCCCACCAAGCCGACGAUCAGUAGCCGACCUGAGAGGGUGACCGGCCACAUUGGGACUGAGACACGGCCCAA